ACACGACUACAUUAGAUACCCGUGUAGUCCCAGCCCUAAACGAUGCGCGUUAGGUGUAUCGGUGACCACGAGUCACCGAGGUGCCGAAGGGAAACCGUGAAACGUGCCGCCUGGGAAGUACGGUCGCAAGGCUGAAACUUAAAGGAAUUGGCGGGGGAGCACCACAAGAGGUGGAGGCUGCGGUUCAAUUGGACUCAACGCCGGAAAACUCAUCGGGAGCGACAGCAGUAUGAUUGCCAGGUUGAUGACCUUGCUUGACGAGCUG
rnacentral:rRNA from 1 species